UGCCAGCAGCCGCGGUAAUACGGAGGGGGCUAGCGUUGUUCGGAAUUGCUGGGCGUAAAGCGCACGUAGGCGGACUUUUAAGUCAGGGGUGAAAUCCCGGAGCUCAACUCCGGAAUUGCCUUUGAUACUGGAAGUCUUGAGUCCGAGAGAGGUGAGUGGAACUCCGAGUGUAGAGGUGAAGUUCGUAGAUAUUCGGAAGAACACCAGUGGCGAAGGCGGCUCACUGGCUCGAUACUGACGCUGAGGUGCGAAAGUGUGGGGAGCAAACAGGAUUAGAUA
rnacentral:rRNA from 1 species